GCAUCACUGAGUGUUGAUAACAAGUAAAUCUCCUACUUGGGAUGUAACCCUUUCAGCACUGGGAUUUUCUCUGUCCAGUACCUAGCACAAUGGGACCCCGAUCUUGUUGGGAGCCAAUGGGUGCAAACGUAAUACUAAUGAGAGAUGAGGCCUUACUGCACAUCCAGGAGCGUAUGUGAGAUAUUUGAGGAAUCUCAGCAACUCAGACAGAAUAUUAGUAUAAUGAGGCUCAACAUGAAAAUCUCAAGGAAUGCAAGGAAGAGAGCCUGACCCACUCUGACAGAAGACGAAUGGUACAGGCUCCUCUUUAAGGAACUGCUGCUGCUGAAUGCCAGGGAGUUCCUGAAACACAUGAUGCCACAACAGGAAGAGCACCAAGGGAUAGCCAGGGACUUUUAUUUCUUAUCUAGAUAGCAGACAAGCACCCUAGAAAACCCAUACAGGCAGAGAAGCAUGCGGUGCUCUUCCUGCAGACUUGCUGCGUGUUUCGGCUCCGUCCUGUCGCUCAGCAGCCAGUCCUUCCCGAGGAACCU